rnacentral:rRNA from 1 species
AUUGAACGCUGGCGGCAGGCCUAACACAUGCAAGUCGAACGAGUGGCGGACGGGUGAGUAAUGACUGGGAAACUGCCUGAUGGUGGGGGAUAACUACUGGAAACGGUAGCUAAUACCGCAUACCAUCGGAUGUGCCCAGAUGGGAUUAGCUAGUGGGUGGGGUAAAGGCUCACCUAGGCGACGAUCCCUAGCUGGUCUGAGAGGAUGACAGGCCACACUGGAACUGAGACACGGUCCAGACUCCUACGGGAGGCAGCAGUGGGGAAUAUUGCGCAGUGGGCGCAAGCCUGAUGCAGCCAUGCCGCGUGUAUGAAGAAGGCCUUCGGGUUGUAAAGUACUUUCAGCGGGGAGGCGUUACCCGCAGAAGAAGCACCGGCUAACUCCGUGCCAGCCGCCGCGGUAAUUC